CUAUGGUUCAAAUUGUGCAAGCAUGUCACUGUUGGCAGUUUUCACUGGAACUAGCAACUGUUGCCUAUGUUACCAUAAGUUUUGACUAACUAAAUAGAGUCCAAUUCCUCCCAAACUACUUCCAUUUGAAAGAUUUGUGUGUAUGCUUAAAGUUGUUUGUUGAAAUCAUCUUGAAAUACUUUCUAGAUUGAAAGUUAUACCUUUGAGAAGAGAGGUAUGUUAUUGUUACCAGCUACAAAAAUUUCCAGAACUAUGCUUGUUUUUAUAGUGAACUGUUUAGUGACCAAACUAUGCCCAUAUGUGUCCAAAUCACUUUUAAAUAAACAAUACGCGAGUCUAUUUCGAAAUUGAUUUUGGAACCAUGCCAAAAGUCUCCAUGCUUCGAUAAUAGUGCCCUAUUUCUAUGAAGAUACCAUGGAUGUGUAUGUAGAGAAUGUUAGAAUUGUUAUAUCCUUUUAUUGAGCUAAUUACUGAUCAAAUCAAGCGAUGAAUGUUGUAAGUGCUAUGUGACCAUUUUCAUGUGAUAGGUGUACGUGCCAUGUGAUGAAGUUUCACGUGAUAAGUAUAAGUGCCAUGUGACCAUUUUCAUAUGAUAAGCGUUAAAUGUUAAAUGCCAUAGUGUUAUUUGACCCAUGUUAUUUGUUCAGUGCUAUGUGAUAAAUGUCAUAAUAAUAUGUGAUAAGUGUUAUAUGACCAGUGCCAUGUGACAAGUGAUAAGUGAUAAGUGCCAAGUGAUAUGUGAGCUAUCGGCAUGCUUUAAGCACGACCAUAUUGUGCUUCGAUAAUGAUAAAGUGAUAUAAGAGACACUAUGCAUGGGUAAUCCGUGGUAGUGUGAGGUGAUGUGAUACGAAAGUGAUUGCCGACAUUGUUUCAUAACUCUUUAUGAUAGGAGGGAAGUUAGGAUGAGUGUAAUGGGAGGGUCGCACCCCCCGAACAAUUUAUGUGAUGUAGAGAGAAAAACAGUGAACUGUGUUUUACAAAGCAAGUGCCUAUCAAAAGCCCUAAAGCGUGUUGGAGAUUGUGUGUGUGAGUAUGAUGGCAUUACUAAAUGGGUCACUCAUUGUCAUUGCCUUCCCUCUUGAGUAAUGAUAGAAGUCCUUAACAAUGGGAUUGGCAUGGCUUGAUGAAUAAGGCUUCUACGUUGGGAGUAGGUGGACUAAGAAGUGAGUGGUUAGUACUAAAAUUGUGAAUGUGAAUGAUAAUGGCCAUGUUGACUGAAUGAUAGUUAUGAUAUUUGAUAUGACACCUGUGAUAGAUGUAUUGAUAAGACUGCUGAUUUAAAUGACAUAUGUACUAGGAUUGCUUAUAAUUGAAAGAAUUAUUCAUGAUACCUGGAUAAAUCCAAUUCUGAUGCAUAAUAUCUAGAUCUUCUUACUGGGUUUCAUAGCUCAUUCUAUAAAUUUCAACCCUUGUAGAUUGAUAGAGGUAGGUCUCGGGCUGAAAGCAGUAAGGUUCAUGGUCGAGGGUUGAAGCCAUGCCUUUGUUGUGAAGUCUCUACCAUUGUACAUCUAUUUGGCAGCCGAUCAUCGCUUGUGGUUGUUGUUUUAGGAUCUUAGGUAAUAUUGGGCCGUAGAUGCCCCAAACUCUUUUUGUAACAUUUUGGAGAGACAUUUUGUACAGUGUAAUUAAAUUAUGAAUGAAAUUCCUCUUCAUUCAUUUUAGAAUGAUUGUUUUUAAUUCUUCUUCGUGGUGUGCUUUAAUUACCGAUUUUAUAAAGCGUUGAGUUCACUCUGACCUGAGUGUCAUUCGCUACCUUGGG
rnacentral:lncRNA from 1 species